UACCGCCACGCCAGAAUUGCACCUGGUGGCAAUUCACAGGUACUACUUUUCGAUGUUUCCAAAGGGAACAUUAUUUUUCCCCAGUUUCAGUUCAAGUGGUACGGUUGCAUCGUAGCAACAGCUGCUUUUCAAACUUUGUUUAUUUUCUGUCAACAUUUCACCGUCCUAAGAAGAACCCGGUGCAGGCAUCUCUGACCACCGAAAAUCCUACGCACGGAGCCGAUUCCUCCGAGGGUGCCAUCCGUUCAUCUUGGAGACGUGUUAGCAAGCGCUCUGGUUGCACUCUAAACCUGAUAAAGAAGACCCUGCCAACCAUUCCACCACAGCAAACGGAAACUGCGCAGCGUUCUGGAAUCUGACCGUAACUGUCGGUGCUACUAGCGGACACAGCUUUCUCGUGUUAACAGAACUCAAGCAAAGCUUUUCCCGGGCCCGGUUCCACAAGAACCACGGCGUGCGACAAUCCAUCGUUGCCGGAAUAGCGGAUGCGAGCUGAAACAUAAUUCUAAUCUAAACACAUGCUGGGCACCAUGAUGAAAUGCCUCGAUUUUUGUUACAACUGGUUCAUGUUUUAUUUGUUAUUUGAUAAUAAAACGUUGACCCAAUAAAACGAAUAUCAUACAACUACAUGAUGAUUAAAUUUAAUUUGUCUAGAUCACUGAUUCGCAAACUAUUAUCCUAGGCCCCACCCCCACGGCCACUCCAGGAGCUUGUCAGACCCUACUAGCGGGGCCCAGUACCCACUUUGGGAAACAAUGGUCUUAGAUUUUGGAGCAGCUCCAGAACUAUUCCCAAAACUGAAGAUUCUUCUUGCGGUUCAAUGUCAGCCGGGUAGUUUAGCAUACGGAAGUGGCCUCUUUGAAUCUGAUGCACAUGAACGGAGGAAUCAGCGUUGAGUUUGUUUGUCUAUUCUUGCGCUGCAUUUUGGCAAAAGUUUUACAUACAGUUCUUCAUGU